rnacentral:lncRNA from 1 species
AUGGUUUUAAAAAUUUUAAUUUGGACCCCUGUGAUUUAAUAUUUAUUUUACCAAAAAAAUUUAGUAUAAAAUAUGAUGACAAAAAAAAUAUUUUUUAGAAAUCACAAGAUGGCAAAGUGAAAAAUGUAUUAAACCAUAGGGCCCCGUUUGGUUGGGGAAUAAAGUGGGGAUUAUUAUCCCCACUUUAUUCCCCAACCAAACGGAAUGUUUUUAGGCCGGAAUAUUUUAUUCCUGUCAAAUCUUACUAUUCUUAGUUAUUCCGAAAUAACUUGGGAUAAACUAUUCCACCCUUUUGGUGGAAUAGUGCUAUUCUAAGAUUUAAUUCCAAGCUUUAUUAAAAUUAGAAAUUACAUUAAAACUAAAUUAUAUAGACAUAAUAUCUUAUAUAUUACAAUAAAUUAUUUUUAUUAAAAAUUAUUAAUUAUCCUAUAUUAAUACAUAUUAUUUAUAUUUAAAUCUAUAAUAUAUUAUUAUAAUAAAUUAUUUUUAAAUAUUAUAAUAAAUUAAUUUUUAUUAAAUUUAAGUUUAAGUAGAAUUUGAAAAAAAACAUUUUUAUAAAAAAAAUUAAUUUAAAUAAAAUAUUUUUAUUAAAUGUUAUAAUAAAUUAUUUUAUAAUAAAUUAUUUUUAUAACAAAUUAUUUUUAUGAAAUUAUAUUUUAUAUCAAAUUCAACCAUCACUUUUUUUCACUAUCAUCUACUAUUCCAUAAAAUUAACCAAAUGCAAUUUCAAUUAUUCCUGAAACUAGCAGCAUUACAAACCAAACAUAAUUUUACUUUUAUUCCUGACUAUUCCGGAAUAGUAAACUAUUCCAGGGAUAAAAAAAAAUUAUCCCAAUGUUUGUUAUCCCCAAAACAAACGGAGCCGAGAAUAAUGUGUAAUUUUUGAAUCAUAGGGUGGAAAAGUGAAAAAUAAAUUGCACUUGGAUAUUUACCCUAUAAUUUAAUCAUGAGAUUUGGACACCGAUUUUUUAUAAACGAGCCACUAUUUCUUCCUUUAAUAAUGAUUAUUAUAUAUAUUGCUGCUACUUGAUUGCUUAUUACUAGAAAUUUCAAGUUUUUAAAUUUUCCUUCAGAUGAUAUAAAUUGUAGAAAAAAUUUCAAAUAUCACCCUAUGGUUUCGCACUUUUUUAUUUUAAUACCCUGUGGUUUAAAGUAUAUAAAUUUAGUAUCACGUAGUUUUAUUUUUUUCUUUUUAUUAACCCCUUCACUAAUUUUUUUCGUUAAAUCAGUAAAAAAAGUUAAAACUAAAAAUACUAAAAUAAAUAUUCGAUAAAUCUACGUGGGAUAUUUGAAGUUUUUGGUAUAUAAUUUAACGAAAUGUUAACGGAGGAGCUGACGAAAAGAGAAAAAUAAAAUCACGGGGAUACACUUUAAACAACAGGAUACUAAAGUAAGAAGUGUGAAACUACGUGGGUGGUAUUUGAAGUUUACCCUAAAUUGUAUAAUAUCAAUUUACAUUUUAAUUUUAAAACAUUAACUAUUUAAAAUUAGGUGCAAUACA